GAAUAUUUCAGCUGGCAAAAAAGACAUAAUUAAAGCCAGAAAAAAACAUUUAAGUAGACAAAUAUUAGCUAAAAUAAACACACCUAAGCUUACUUCCUAUUACCCUCCACCUUUUUCUAUACAACAAUAAAAAACCAGCCCCCUUCUCCUUUGUACCUAAUCAAAAUUAUAGUACUUCAAAGAGCAAGAGCCAAAAAAAAAACAACUAGCU
rnacentral:misc_RNA from 1 species